AUCCAGUUGAAGAGUCCCAAAUCGGACGAAACUAGCAUCCUGGAU
rnacentral:hammerhead_ribozyme from 1 species